rnacentral:rRNA from 1 species
CUUAACACAUGCAAGUCGAGGGGCAGCAUGGUCUUUUCUUGCUAAGGCCGAUGGCGACCGGCGCACGGGUGAGUAACACGUAUCCAACCUGCCGUCUACUCUUGGACAGCCUUCUGAAAGGAAGAUUAAUACAAGAUGGCAUCAUGAGUCCGCAUGUUCACAUGAUUAAAGGUAUUCCGGUAGACGAUGGGGAUGCGUUCCAUUAGAUAGUAGGCGGGGUAACGGCCCACCUAGUCUUCGAUGGAUAGGGGUUCUGAGAGGAAGGUCCCCCACAUUGGAACUGAGACACGGUCCAAACUCCUACGGGAGGCAGCAGUGAGGAAUAUUGGUCAAUGGGCGAGAGCCUGAACCAGCCAAGUAGCGUGAAGGAUGACUGCCCUAUGGGUUGUAAACUUCUUUUAUAAAGGAAUAAAGUCGGGUAUGGAUACCCGUUUGCAUGUACUUUAUGAAUAAGGAUCGGCUAACUCCGUGCCAGCAGCCGCGGUAAUACGGAGGAUCCGAGCGUUAUCCGGAUUUAUUGGGUUUAAAGGGAGCGUAGAUGGAUGUUUAAGUCAGUUGUGAAAGUUUGCGGCUCAACCGUAAAAUUGCAGUUGAUACUGGAUAUCUUGAGUGCAGUUGAGGCAGGCGGAAUUCGUGGUGUAGCGGUGAAAUGCUUAGAUAUCACGAAGAACUCCGAUUGCGAAGGCAGCCUGCUAAGCUGCAACUGACAUUGAGGCUCGAAAGUGUGGGUAUCAAACAGGAUUAGAUACCCUGGUAGUCCACACGGUAAACGAUGAAUACUCGCUGUUUGCGAUAUACUGCAAGCGGCCAAGCGAAAGCGUUAAGUAUUCCACCUGGGGAGUACGCCGGCAACGGUGAAACUCAAAGGAAUUGACGGGGGCCCGCACAAGCGGAGGAACAUGUGGUUUAAUUCGAUGAUACGCGAGGAACCUUACCCGGGCUUAAAUUGCAGAUGAAUUACGGUGAAAGCCGUAAGCCGCAAGGCAUCUGUGAAGGUGCUGCAUGGUUGUCGUCAGCUCGUGCCGUGAGGUGUCGGCUUAAGUGCCAUAACGAGCGCAACCCUUGUUGUCAGUUACUAACAGGUUCCGCUGAGGACUCUGACAAGACUGCCAUCGUAAGAUGUGAGGAAGGUGGGGAUGACGUCAAAUCAGCACGGCCCUUACGUCCGGGGCUACACACGUGUUACAAUGGGGGGUACAGAGGGCCGCUACCACGCGAGUGGAUGCCAAUCCCCAAAACCUCUCUCAGUUCGGACUGGAGUCUGCAACCCGACUCCACGAAGCUGGAUUCGCUAGUAAUCGCGCAUCAGCCACGGCGCGGUGAAUACGUUCCCGGGCCUUGUACACACCGCCCGUCAAGCCAUGGGAGCCGGGGGUACCUGAAGUGCGUAACCGCGAGGAGCGCCCUAGGGUAAAACUGGUGACUGGGGCUAA